GUUUUAAAUUAUAAAAUAGCCAUUAUAUCCACACCAAGUUCUAGUUUGAAUAUUACUGUUUCAAAUCAGUUCCUUUCACCGUGAGACCCUGAGAGUAGGUCUACUACACUUGGAACCUUUCCUAUAACUUCAUUAGUUGGCCUCAUCACUGAUGGGGACGACAAGGAGUACAGAGGACUGACUCAAGACUUUGUGGACUGGUGCCAGCUGAACUACCUCCAGAUCAAUGCCAGUAAAACCAAGGAGCUGGUGGUA